AGAGUUUGAUCCUGGCUCAGGACGAACGCUGGCGGCGUGCCUAAUACAUGCAAGUAGAACGCUGAAGUCUGGUGCUUGCACUAGACGGAUGAGUUGCGAACGGGUGAGUAACGCGUAGGUAACCUGCCUCAUAGCGGGGGAUAACUAUUGGAAACGAUAGCUAAUACCGCAUAACAGUAUUAACCGCAUGGUAGAUACUUGAAAGGAGCAAUUGCUUCACUAUGAGAUGGACCUGCGUUGUAUUAGCUAGUUGGUGAGGUAACGGCUCACCAAGGCAUCGAUACAUAGCCGACCUGAGAGGGUGAUCGGCCACACUGGGACUGAGACACGGCCCAGACUCCUACGGGAGGCAGCAGUAGGGAAUCUUCGGCAAUGGGGGCAACCCUGACCGAGCAACGCCGCGUGAGUGAAGAAGGUUUUCGGAUCGUAAAGCUCUGUUGUAAGAGAAGAACUGUGAGAAGAGUGGAAAGUUUCUCAUUUGACGGUAUCUUACCAGAAAGGGACGGCUAACUACGUGCCAGCAGCCGCGGUAAUACGUAGGUCCCGAGCGUUGUCCGGAUUUAUUGGGCGUAAAGCGAGCGCAGGCGGUUUGAUAAGUCUGAAGUAAAAGGCUGUGGCUUAACCAUAGUACGCUUUGGAAACUGUCAAACUUGAGUGCAGAAGGGGAGAGUGGAAUUCCAUGUGUAGCGGUGAAAUGCGUAGAUAUAUGGAGGAACACCGGUGGCGAAAGCGGCUCUCUGGUCUGUAACUGACGCUGAGGCUCGAAAGCGUGGGGAGCGAACAGGAUUAGAUACCCUGGUAGUCCACGCCGUAAACGAUGAGUGCUAGGUGUUGGGUCCUUUCCGGGACUCAGUGCCGCAGCUAACGCAUUAAGCACUCCGCCUGGGGAGUACGACCGCAAGGUUGAAACUCAAAGGAAUUGACGGGGGCCCGCACAAGCGGUGGAGCAUGUGGUUUAAUUCGAAGCAACGCGAAGAACCUUACCAGGUCUUGACAUCCC
rnacentral:rRNA from 3 species